GUGAUUUAAUAUCCUAACCACUCUGUCUCUGUUUUUUUUUCUCUCUCUCUUCCAGAGCCGUUUCUUUAAAUGAAUGGAUAUAAACCAGACAGGUGGUUUUUUUUUUUCCCACGGUCUAAGGCUGGGCCAGAUUCACCUAAUUGCUUUGGUGGCUGGAGAAUUCUGGGAGUUGAAGUCCACACCCCUUAAAAGUUGCUAAGGAAAGGUACAGUGGCCAUUCAAAUCCCAAACCGUUUGAAAUGAAAUCGACCUCAAAGCAAAUCAGAUAACAACCUGCUUGAAAUGCUCGAAAGAAAAUGAGAAUAAUCUCGACGAAACGAUUUAAUGCCCCAGGAUUUGCUGGAUACGUGGUUAAAAAAAAAAAAAAGAGGAAAGCAAAACC